rnacentral:rRNA from 1 species
UACUCGAGUGGCGAACGGGUGAGUAACACGUGGGUGAUCUGCCCUGCACUCUGGGAUAAGCCUGGGAAACUGGGUCUAAUACCGGAUAGGACCAUGCUUUAGUGUGUGUGGUGGAAAGUUUUUUCGGUGUAGGAUGAGCCCGCGGCCUAUCAGCUUGUUGGUGGGGUAAUGGCCUACCAAGGCGGCGACGGGUAGCCGGACUGAGAGGUUGGUCGGCCACAUCGGGACUGAGAUACGGCCCAG